GAUGAACGCUAGCUACAGGCUUAACACAUGCAAGUCGAGGGGAAACGGCAUCGAAAGCUUGCUUUUGAUGGGCGUCGACCGGCGCACGGGUGAGUAACGCGUAUCCAACCUGCCCAUCACUUGGGAAUAACCUUGCGAAAGUAAGACUAAUGCCCAAUGACAUCCCACGAAGGCAUCCGAAUGGGAUUAAAGAUUUAUCGGUGAUGGAUGGGGAUGCGUCUGAUUAGCUUGUUGGCGGGGUGACGGCCCACCAAGGCAACGAUCAGUAGGGGUUCUGAGAGGAAGGUCCCCCACAUUGGAACUGAGACACGGUCCAAACUCCUACGGGAGGCAGCAGUGAGGAAUAUUGGUCAAUGGGCGAGAGCCUGAACCAGCCAAGUAGCGUGCAGGAUGACGGCCCUAUGGGUUGUAAACUGCUUUUAGAAGGGAAUAAAGUGGGUCACGUGUGACUUUUUGCAUGUACCUUAUGAAUAAGGACCGGCUAAUUCCG
rnacentral:rRNA from 1 species